GAGAAAGGACAAGAGACACCCAUGAAAAUGCCUCUAUAUGGGAAGAGGGUCUAUUGGCCAGCCCUCCAGGAGACCAGGAUGGAAGAAGCAGGCCCCUAAGGAGCUGGGGCAGGGAAGCAAGCGCCCUGAACGUUUUUGAGAGGAGGUGGAAUAGCACAGUAUUGUGACUUUCCCACUUGGCAAGGCAAGGCAUCUGGACACAGGAUGUUUGAUAAGAGGCUGGCUCAGUCACUUCACAAAUGUGGGUCUCAUUUUUAAUUCUUCAUCAGUGGGCAUAACAGUUAUGGGCUUCAUUCAUACUUCUGUUCAGCAUCCAUCCUCUGGUUAAGCAGGCCCACCUACCUAUCCAUGCCAUCUCAGCUCCAGAAUGAGACUCCUUGCAGCCCCCUGGGACUCUUCUGUCUCCCUCCUGAUGAGAAGACGACGACUUCUGGUAGAAAUCACAGAGCUUCAUGUUCCCUGUACCCCUCCUCUGAACCCAUCUUUGUGGAGCUACUCUGGACUCUGUGCCAGAUUUUUUCCCACCUAUGGCCUGCCUUCCCAGUUUGUACCAUCUCCUGCUGUUAGCUCCUGGGGUCUGAGGCAGUGGGCAGGAAGAGGUGGUGAGAGGGAAAAUUAAUAAAAUUGGGAGGGAAUGCUGAGGGAAGAUUGGGGUUCUAUUGCAGCUUACGCUUAGUCAUGAGGCCUAAUUUGGCCCUUCCUUCCAGCAGUCGGAAACCAACCUUCCCUCCUGCCUCCUUACAAGCCCCAGGCAAUCCUUUUUUCACUUGUGUGGCAAAAUGCUGCAUUAAUUAACUCUGUCAAAUGACUACUGGUGAUAAUCUGAA